rnacentral:lncRNA from 1 species
AUCCCUGCUCCUGCCAACUUCUCCCAGAGGGGCUACUAUCUCACACUGAGGGCCAACCGGGUGCUGUACCAGGCCAGAGGCCAGCUCCAUGUCCUCCGUGUUGGCAAUGAUACCCACUGCCAACCAACAAAAAUUGGCUGCAACCAUCCCCUACCAGGACCGAGCCCCUACAGGGUGAAGUUCCUGGUGAUGAAUGACAAAGGACCCGUGGCUGAAACAAAGUGGUCCAGCAACACUCGCCUGCAGCAAGCCCAGGCACUUCGGGCUGUCCCUGGCCCCCAGAGCCCGGGCACCGUGGUCAUCAUCGCCAUCCUGUCUGACAGCCACAGUGUGGAAGACCCUGUGCCCCUUCUGGGGUGAGGAGUACCAAGUGCACCUGCCGCCCACCUUCCACGCUGUGGCUUUCUACGUCAUGGAUGAGGAUGCCCUCAGCCGGGACGACGUUAUCGGAAAGGUCUGCCUUACAAGGGACACCAUAGCUUCUCACCCUAAGGAGGUUUCAGCGGGUGGGCCCACCUGACGGAGGUUGACCCUGAUGAGGAGGUGCAGGGCGAGAUCCACCUGCGGCUGGAAGUGCGCCCAGGGGCCCGGGCCUGCCAGCUACGCUGCUCUGUGCUGGAGGCCAGAUCAUGAAGAAGUCAUGCUACCCACGCUGGAAUGAGACGUUUGAAUUUGAGCUGCAGGAGGGGGCCGUGGAGGCGCUGUGCGUGGAGGCCUGGGACUGGGACCUUGUCAGCCGAAACGACUUCCUGGGCAAAGUGGUGAUCGAUGUCCAGAGACUGCGGGUGGCGCAGCAGGAGGAGGGCUGGUUCCGGCUGCAGCCCGACCAGUCCAAGAGCCGGCAGCAUGACGAGGGCAACCUGGGCUCCUUGCAGCUGGAGGUGCGGCUGCGGGACGAGGGCCCAGGGCAGCUGAUCCCACUCAUCGAGGAGACAACCAGCACCGAGUGUCGCCAGGACG